UCCAACUCGGCUCUCGGGUUUUGCCAUCUUGUUCCAUUUGUCUUAAAACAGUCGAUUUCUCCAGCCGCCCGACAAUGACGCAGAUAUUGAACAGGAAGCAAACUUGCAGAACAGCUCCUGCUUAAGGACGGCUCAGGUAGCCUUGCUGCUCUGCUAUUACCAUAAUCAUUUUAUUUACCACGAAAUGAUUUGCUUGCUUGUGUAACAUGUCAUCUGUAUUCAGGCUCCGAGAACUCACCCAGAAUGCCAUGCCUUGAGACUGAAAAGAUUCGCACAGUGUUGAGACUGCUGAAGACUUGGGACUUUUGAAGUUGGACUAAAUGUAUUUUUCAUGAUGACAUGGCCAUGAGCCUGUGGGGCAGCAGCGGACCGUGCUGAGCUUCACUUACUAAAGAGGGGGAGAAAGUACACACUCUCAAGGCAGUGCACAUUUUGCCGGGUAGCGUGGAAGAAGAAGAGGGGAGAUAUUGCUGAUGGAUCUUUCUCCAGGACUCCCAACCGCUACACCUCCCAACCCUGGACUUAGCGAUACCAAGAAAGCCCCACCAGUGAGUUCUGAUCCUCUGCCUUAGAUGUUCAGCCUCCAGCGCCCAUUAGAAACUGCAUCUUCAGCCACCAACUGCCACUUUCUAACAAAAGGCCAACAAGCCAGAAGGGGUCAGCUCUAUUCGUUGUUGCCUUGGCCUCUUGUUCUUCAGCAGCCUUUGUGAAGUGUCUGAAUCACUGGGGCAAAAAGAGAUUAAAAACCCGAGUCGAUGGAGCCAUUUUGAGCAGCACUCUUUGAGGUUGCCAUAAACUCUCUUUGGAGUUCCCUCCCAGGGAAAUGAGAGAGCAUGACUUCAUAUCUAUGCUAUAAAAACUGUAAAAAAAAAAAAAAAAAAAAAACAAAACCACAAAAAAAAACCCCCAAAAACAUCUAAUUUGAGUCAACAAAACAAAACAAAACAACAAAAAACCAAACCUGGAGAGUCUGUUGAAUUCUAGGCAAACUCAGUAAGUCCUUCUCUUGGCAUCUUU